rnacentral:lncRNA from 1 species
GCCUACCAGGUUAAGCUACCACCCCUCUUAUGUACUGAUCGUGAACCUUGUGCAUAGCCGAUGUGGGAUUUGCCUAAGGUGAGUGCACUGCCUCUCUGCAGCCACCGCUCACCCCCCCUUAGGGACUCAGCGCCCACGCUGAGGUUUGCCCCACCACCGGCCAGAGGAACAAGGCUUGGCUCUGAUACCAAAUGUCAUGGCCCCAACCUUGGUAGGUAUUGUCCGCUUUGGGCCACGCAGGCCCGCACGGUUUUGUCCCUUGGGCCAGGCUUUUCA